rnacentral:rRNA from 1 species
GACGAACGCUGGCGGCGUGCUUAAUACAUGCAAGUCGAACGAAGUGGCGAACGGGUGAGUAACGCGUAAUCAACCUGCCCUUCAGAGGGGGACAACAGUUGGACACGACUGCUAAUACCGCAUACUGAUGGAGGGGAUUGCGUCUGAUUGGGUAGUUGGAGGGGUAACCGCCCACCAAGGCGAUGAGCAGUAGCCGGUCGGAGGGGAUGAACGGCCACAUUGGGAAGUAGACACGGCCCAAACUCCGAAGGGAGGCAGCAGUUGGGAAUCUUCCGACAUGGACGGAAGUCUGACGGAGCAACGCCGGGGGGGUGAUGAAGGCCUUCGGGUUGUAAAGCUCUGUUAAGCGGGACGCGGUACCGGAAUAGAAAGCCACGGCUAACUACGUGCCAGCAGCCGCGGUAAUAC